rnacentral:rRNA from 1 species
UACGUAGGGGGCAAGCGUUGUCCGGAUUUAUUGGGCGUAAAGAGCUCGUAGGUGGUUCGGUAAGUCGGAUGUGAAAUCUCCAGGCUCAACCUGGAGGGGUCAUUCGAUACUGCCGUGACUAGAGGUCGGUAGGGGAGUGUGGAAUUCCUGGUGGAGCGGUGAAAUGCGCAGAUAUCGGGAAGAACACCUAUGGCGAAGGCAGCUCUCUGGGACGGUACUGGACGCUGAGACGCGAAAGCGUGGGGAGCAAACAGG